GACGAACGCUGGCGGCGUGCCUAAUACAUGCGAGUUGAGCGAUGAAGAUUGGUGCUUGCACCAAUUUGAAGAGCAGCGAACGGGUGAGUAACGCGUGGGGAAUCUGCCUUUGAGCGGGGGACAACAUUUGGAAACGAAUGCUAAUACCGCAUAACAACUUUAAACAUAAGUUUUAAGUUUGAAAGAUGCAAUUGCAUCACUCAAAGAUGAUCCCGCGUUGUAUUAGCUAGUUGGUGAGGUAAAGGCUCACCAAGGCGAUGAUACAUAGCCGACCUGAGAGGGUGAUCGGCCACAUUGGGACUGAGACACGGCCCAAACUCCUACGGGAGGCAGCAGUAGGGAAUCUUCGGCAAUGGACGAAAGUCUGACCGAGCAACGCCGCGUGGGUGAAGAAGGUUUUCGGAUCGUAAAACUCUGUUGGUAGAGAAGAACGUUGGUGAGAGUGGAAAGCUCAUCAAGUGACGGUAACUACCCAGAAAGGGACGGCUAACUACGUG
rnacentral:rRNA from 1 species